AAAGUGAUUAGUGAGCCAAUUAAAGAACCAAUUCCGCAGUUUUACUUCCAAAAUGGACGUCCACCACCAGUUGACCUGAAAGAGCAAUGCAUGUUCAGGACCAAUCAGGCUUUCUAUGGACACUUGGAUGGGUUACAGAUCCAUGAAUUUAGGGCAGUUACAAAAGAAGUAUGCAAGUUGCCAUCAUUCUUUUCCACUUCUCUUUUCAGAAAGAUAGAUGUUAAUAGCACUGGCAUUGUGACAAGGUAG